AGAGUUUGAUCCUGGCUCAGAUCGAACGCUGGCGGCGUGGCUAAGACAUGCAAGUCGCACGGGAACGUCCCUUCGGGGGCUAGUACAGUGGCGAAAGGGCGAGGAAUGCAUGGGUAACGUACCUAGAGCACGAGGAUAGCCGCGGGAAACUGCGGGUAAUACUCGAUGAGACCACUCACUGUCACAUGGCAGAGCGGUCAAAGGGUGGGGAUCCUUCGGGACCUACUGGCUCUGGAGCGGCCCAUGUCCUAUCAGCUAGUUGGUGAGGUAACGGCUCACCAAGGCUUCGACGGGUACCGGGACUGAGAGGUUGACCCGGCGCAUUGGGACUGAGACACUGCCCAGACUCCUACGGGAGGCUGCAGUAACGAAUCUUCCGCAAUGGGCGAAAGCCUGACGGAGCGACGCCGCGUGUGGGAUGAAGAUCUUCGGAUUGUAAACCACUGUCAGGGAUUACCAAGCAAUGAGGGCUAACAUCCCUCGGAGUUGAGGAGUCCCAGAGGAAGCCACGGCUAACUUCGUGCCAGCAGCCGCGGUAAGACGAAGGUGGCAAGCGUUGUUCGGAAUCACUGGGCUUAAAGAGCACGUAGGCGGCUCGUCAAGUGUCUUGUGAAAUCCCUCGGCUCAACCGAGGAAUUGCUGGGCAAACUGACUGGGCUUGAGGCAGGUAGGGGCGCGUGGAACUCUUGGUGGAGCGGUGGAAUGCGUAGAUAUCAAGAGGAACGCCAGAGGCGAAAGCGAUGCGCUGGGCCUGUCCUGACGCUGAGGUGCGAAAGCCAGGGGAGCAAACGGGAUUAGAUACCCCGGUAGUCCUGGCCCUAAACGAUGUCCACUAGGUCGGAGGCACUCUGACGUGUUUCUGGCCGAAAUGAAAACGGUAAGUGGACCGCCUGGGGAGUACGGUCGCAAGGCUAAAACUCAAAGGAAUUGACGGGGGCUCACACAAGCGGUGGAGCAUGUUGCUUAAUUCGAUGCAACGCGAAGAACCUUAUCCUGGGCUUGACAUGCUUGGAUGCCCAUCUGGAAACAGAGUAGGCUGCCCUUCGGGGUGAAACUUGCACAGGUGCUGCAUGGCUGUCGUCAGCUCGUGUCGUGAGAUGUUGGGUUAA
rnacentral:rRNA from 1 species